CGGACGGGUGAGUAAUGUCUGGGAAACGGCCCGAUGGAGGGGGAUAACUACUGGAAACGGUAGCUAAUACCGCAUAACGUCGCAAGACCAAAGAGGGGGACCUUCGGGCCUCUUGCCAUCGGAUGUGCCCAGAUGGGAUUAGCUAGUAGGUGGGGUAAUGGCUCACCUAGGCGACGAUCCCUAGCUGGUCUGAGAGGAUGACCAGCCACACUGGAACUGAGACACGGUCCAG
rnacentral:rRNA from 1 species